GUAUUAGUAAAAUAUUACAUAACUUUGUCAAAGUUAUAUUAUAGGUGAAAGCCCUGUAUAUCUCCAUGGCUUAUCCCUUUCAACUAGGCUUUCAAGACGCCACUUCACCCAUCAUAGAGGAACUCCUACAUUUUCACGACCACACCCUGAUAAUUGUAUUCUUAAUUAGCUCCUUAGUACUAUAUAUUAUUUCACUCAUACUAACAACAAAACUGACACACACUAGCACGAUAGAUGCCCAAGAAGUAGAAACAAUUUGAACAAUCUUACAGACCAUUAUUUUGAUUUUAAUUGCCCUGCCUUCUCUACGAAUUCUAUAUAUAAUAGAUGAAAUUAAUAACCCAUCCUUAACCAUAAAAAUAACAGGGCAUCACUGAUACUGAAGCUAUGAAUAUACAGACUAUGAAGACCUUACCUUUGACUCAUACAUAAUCCCCACAUCCGGCCUGAAACCCAGAGAGAUACAACUACUAGAAAUGGACAAUUGAGUAGUCUUACCAAUAGAGAUGACAAUUUGAAUGCUGGCCUCUUCUGAGGAUGUAUUGCACUCAUGAGCCGUCCCAUCUCUCGGCCUAAAAACAGAUGCUAUCCCAGGACGAUUAAAUCAAACAACCUUAAUAUCUACACGACCCGGUCUUUAUUACGGACAAUGCUCAGAGAUCUGUGGAUCAAACCACAGUUUUAUACCCAUUGUACUCGAAUUAGUCCCACUAAAAUACUUCGAAAAAUGGUCAACAUCAAUACUAACAGGUUCAUUGAGAAGCUAGUCAGCACUAACCUUUUAAGUUAGAGAUCGGGAGCUUAAUC